UACGGAGGAUCCGAGCGUUAUCCGGAUUUAUUGGGUUUAAAGGGUGCGCAGGCGGGAGAUUAAGUCGGCGGUGAAAUUUUGCAGCUCAACUGUAAAAGUGCCUUCGAAACUGGUUUCCUUGAGUGUAGAUGAAGUAGGCGGAAUUUGUGGUGUAGCGGUGAAAUGCAUAGAUAUCACGAGGAACUCCGAUUGCGCAGGCAGCUUACUAAACUACUACUGACGCUCAGGCACGAAGGCGUGGGGAGUCAAACAGGGUUAGGAUACCCCGGUACGGUCCU
rnacentral:rRNA from 1 species